UGGGGAAUUUUGGGCAAUGGAGGCAACUCUGACCCAGCAACGCCGCGUGAAUGAUGAAGGUCUUCGGAUUGUAAAGUUCUGUGAUGGGGGACGAAGAAAGUGACGGUACCCCAAUAGCAAGCCACGGCUAACUACGUGCCAGCAGCCGCGGUAAUACGUAGGUGGCAAGCGUUGUCCGGAAUGACUGGGCGUAAAGGGUGCGUAGGUGGUUGAUCAAGUUAGCAGUGAAAUCCCGGGGCUCAACUCCGGUGCUACUGCUAAAACUGACCGACUUGAGUGCAAGAGAGGUAAGCGGAAUUCCUAGUGUAGCGGUGGAAUGCGUAGAUAUUAGGAAGAACACCGGAGGCGAAAGCGGCUUACUGGCCUGUAACUGACACUGAGUCACGAAAGCGUGGGGAGCAAACAGG
rnacentral:rRNA from 2 species